AACGAACGCUGGCGGCAUGCCUAACACAUGCAAGUCGAACGAACCCUUCGGGGUUAGUGGCGCACGGGUGCGUAACGCGUGGGAAUCUGCCCUUUGCUUCGGAAUAACUCAGGGAAACUUGUGCUAAUACCGGAUGAUGUCUUCGGACCAAAGAUUUAUCGGCAAGGGAUGAGCCCGCGUAGGAUUAGGUAGUUGGUGGGGUAAAGGCCUACCAAGCCGACGAUCCUUAGCUGGUCUGAGAGGAUGAUCAGCCACACUGGGACUGAGACACGGCCCAGACUCCUACGGGAGGCAGCAGUGGGGAAUAUUGGACAAUGGGCGCAAGCCUGAUCCAGCUAUGCCGCGUGAGUGAUGAAGGCCCUCGGGUCGUAAAGCUCUUUUACCAGGGAUGAUAAUGACAGUACCUGGAGAAUAAGCUCCGGCUAACUCCGUG
rnacentral:rRNA from 1 species